GAUGAACGCUGGCGGCGUGCCUAAUACAUGCAAGUCGAGCGAACGGACGAGAAGCUUGCUUUUCUGAUGUUAGCGGCGGACGGGUGAGUAACACGUGGAUAACCUACCUAUAAGACUGGGAUAACUUCGGGAAACCGGAGCUAAUACCGGAUAAUAUUUUGAACCGCAUGGUUCAAAAGUGAAAGACGGUCUUGCUGUCACUUAUAGAUGGAUCCGCGCUGCAUUAGCUAGUUGGUAAGGUAACGGCUUACCAAGGCAACGAUGCAUAGCCGACCUGAGAGGGUGAUCGGCCACACUGGAACUGAGACACGGUCCAGACGCCUACGGGAGGCAGCAGUAGGGAAUCUUCCGCAAUGGGCGAAAGCCUGACGGAGCAACGCCGCGUGAGUGAUGAAGGUCUUCGGAUCGUAAAGCUCUGUUAUUAGGGAAGAACAGAUGUGUAAGUAACUGUGCACAUCUUGACGGUACCUAAUCAGAAAGCCACGGCUAACUACGUG
rnacentral:rRNA from 1 species